rnacentral:rRNA from 1 species
UGGGGAAUUUUGGACAAUGGGCGAAAGCCUGAUCCAGCAAUGCCGCGUGUGUGAAGAAGGCCUUCGGGUUGUAAAGCACUUUUGUCCGGAAAGAGAUCCUCUGGGUUAAUACCUCGGGGGGAUGACGGUACCGGAAGAAUAAGCACCGGCUAACUACGUGCCAGCAGCCGCGGUAAUACGUAGGGUGCAAGCGUUAAUCGGAAUUACUGGGCGUAAAGCGUGCGCAGGCGGUUUUGUAAGACGGAUGUGAAAUCCCCGGGCUUAACCUGGGAACUGCAUUCGUGACUGCAAGGCUAGAGUAUGGCAGAGGGGGGUAGAAUUCCACGUGUAGCAGUGAAAUGCGUAGAGAUGUGGAGGAAUACCGAUGGCGAAGGCAGCCCCCUGGGCCAAUACUGACGCUCAUGCACGAAAGCGUGGGGAGCAAACAGGAUUAGAUACCCUGGUAGUCCACGCCCUAAACGAUGUCAACUAGUUGUUGGGGAUUCAUUUCCUUAGUAACGUAGCUAACGCGUGAAGUUGACCGCCUGGGGAGUACGGUCGCAAUAUUAAAACUCAAAUGAAUUGACGGGGUCAUAGCUGUUUCCU